GACGAACGCUGGCGGCGUGCCUAAUACAUGCAAGUAGAACGCUGAAGGAGGAGCUUGCUUCUCUGGAUGAGUUGCGAACGGGUGAGUAACGCGUAGGUAACCUGCCUGGUAGCGGGGGAUAACUAUUGGAAACGAUAGCUAAUACCGCAUAAUAGUAGAUGUUGCAUGACAUUUGCUUAAAAGGUGCAAUUGCAUCACUACCAGAUGGACCUGCGUUGUAUUAGCUAGUUGGUGGGGUAACGGCUCACCAAGGCGACGAUACAUAGCCGACCUGAGAGGGUGAUCGGCCCCACUGGGACUGAGACACGGCCCAGACUCCUACGGGAGGCAGCAGUAGGGAAUCUUCGGCAAUGGACGGAAGUCUGACCGAGCAACGCCGCGUGAGUGAAGAAGGUUUUCGGAUCGUAAAGCUCUGUUGUAAGAGAAGAACGAGUGUGAGAGUGGAAAGUUCACACUGUGACGGCAUCUUACCAGAAAGGGACGGCUAACUACGUG
rnacentral:rRNA from 1 species